UGGGGGACCUGACCUGGGAAGUGGCUUUAUCAGACUGGUUGGGAGGGAUGGCCCUGUCCCUUUAUAGUGUGUCCUCUCAACUUGGCAGGGGGCAGAGUUCUUCCCUUCUCUCUGGUUUUCUCUGCUCUAACCUCUCCUUUCAUUUCCCUAACUCACUUUCCGUGUUAACAGCUUUCUUCCCCCUUUCCCUUCCCUUCUGUUCACUGCUGCCCCCUCUUUUGAUCCUUUCUCUCACUGGGCCUCAUUUUCUCUCCAUUUUCACUUUGAGGGCUGACUUGUUUGAAGUUUUAGAGUUAGUGCUGUCCUGUGACUGGAUGUUAUUCAGAGGCCCUGUCCUUUUUCUCUGAGGAGCAGCCUGCCAUAGCCCCUCAGAUAGCAGCCCUGACAGGCUCUGACCCAGAGUCUGAGCUGAGUGCCUGAGGGAGGCUCCAGGAACGGCCUGUGUGAAGCUGGUGUGGGUUUCCCAGCAGUACUUUGUACACUGAUCACCACCGCCUUUUUUUUUUUUAAGAUUUAUUUAUUAUUAUAUCUAAGUACACUGUAGCUGUCUUCAGACACACCAGAAGAUCUUAUUAAGGAUGGUUGUGAGCCACCAUGUGGUUGCUGGGAUUUGAACUCAUGACCUUUGGAAGAGCAGUAAGUGCUCUCACCUGCUGAGCCAUCUCUCCAGCCCCACCACCACCUUUUUUAUUGACAGGUAAUGUUUAUAAGAGAUUCUCUCCACAGUUCUUAGUCAGACAAGGGGCUAAGCUGUGCCCCUAGAGACUCCUUUUGGAAGCUCAAGGCAAAGGUAGUCUGCAUUCAGACAACCUAUGGGUUUUGCCAUAGGACCAGCCACAGUGAAGGCUGGAACAGAUGGGUGAUAAGGUGGCCUGGGAUCCUACUAGUCCUAUCUUGCAGCCAGAUGUUCCCAGAUGGUUUCUGGAACAAAUUCUAUUUUCCUUGUCGUUGGAAGCAUCCUUUUCUUCUCAGUAAAGUAAGAAAUAAUUUUUUCCCCUAAAAGCCAUUUGACAUUUAGUCAAGGGUAGUCAGCAGGAACUUGAACCUUUAUUGCUAAUAUGCCAUACAGGGCAUAGUGGUACACACAUUUAAUCCUAGCACUCCAGAGGCAGAGGCAGGCAGAUCUCUGUGAAGUCAAAGCCAGUCUAGUCUACAUAGUGAGUUUCAGGACAGAGAAGCCACGAAGUGAGACCCUGUCUAAAAAAAAACCCCAAACCUAACUAAAAUAAAAGACCAGCAUGGUCUGUGUAGACCAUCUAGGGCUAUAGAAUGAGAUCUUGCCUCAAAAAAGUACAACGUAUAAACAAUGUACUCUAUAGUUGUAUUCAGUAACAUAACCAUUUAUUGUGAUCUAAUUUUUGUUUUUGAUUCGUGUUUUAUGAAAGGGUCUUGAAUGUAGCCUGGAUAUAGUAGGCAGGCUGGUCUUCAACUUGUAAUCUUACUGUUUAGUUCUCUCAAGUGUUAGCAUUAUAGUCUUUGACAAUAGAAAUUGACUUUUACUUACUUAUUACUUGAUUGAUUGAUUGAUUGAUUGAUUGAUUGAUUAAGAGAAGAUCUCACUGUGUAUUGCUGGCCAGUCUGGAUUUUAAUUGGCUAUGUAGACCGGGCUGGUCUCAAACUCAAAAGAUCCACCUGUUUCUUCUUCCCAAGCGCCAGGAUUAAUGCCUGACUUAAAACUUUAUUUUUAAAUCCAAAUAGCUAAGUGAAUGCAUGGCAUUGCAAAUGCUGCCUAGUUUUUUUGGUUGCUGCUGCGGUUUAACUACACUGGCCCAUGUAGUUCUGUCUCAUUGUUCUGAAGGGUCUCAGGUAGCAGUGUUACUUCUAUGGUUUGCGAGUACCUGGGUUUAUUUUGCCUUCACUAACGGUAGACUUUUGGGGAUGCUAUAUAUCAUGUGUGUGUGUUAUAUACCUGUUAUGAAUAUACAACAAUAAACCCGUGCAGAUGUAUGUAAAGUUUUAGAAGCUUAGCAUACUGCUGUAAUAUAUAUCUGUGAGAUGAAACCCCUAGAGGCAGACCUUCCAGUUCAAAAGAUAAUAUGUUCAUUUAAUUACCUGAGGUAUAAUUUUAAAUAUGAUCUGGGCAUAGUGACACACACUUGUAAUCCCAGCACUUGGGAGGCUGAGGCAGGAGGAGUUCAAGUUUCAGACUAGCCCAGACUACAUAUAGGGAGACGUCAGAGGAAGCAAGGUAGAAGUCCUUCAGUAAACACCUUAGCUUGUGAGUUUGGGGUUGGAUCUGAGAUCUUUUCCUCAGCUAGCUGCACAUUUACUGGUGUAGUCUGACUUCCCUACCGAGGGUUUUGUUCUGCUUCUACCUCAUUGUGUAGCUCUGAAAUAUAGCUCCUGGGCUCCUAACUCCAAUUUGUCCAGUCAGUAGCAGACUACUUUACAAUACCUUUGAAAUUAGAAAACUUCCAGAGUUUCCUUCCUGAUGCAGUAAUGGAGAAGACUGGUAAAGCCCACACUAAUGUUAGACAUCUUCUGCAGUAGUUACUUCAUUAUGUGGUUGAGUGAUUGGGUCGGCUGGUGGUACCUGGCAAGCAGAUGCAGAUGAAGUUCUAAGAUUCAGUAAAGAAUAGCUAUAUAAAAGCAUCCUGAGCGACUGUCUCACCUUUAGCCUCUUCUGUACAACAGCCCCCCACCGUAGUGACCCCUGACCGUUUCUGAAAUGUACUUUUUUUCUUUGUUACUUCCCAGAUUGUUGCCUCUGACUAAUGAUAUGCUCGCCACUUCUGCUUAGAAACUGAGCUUCCCUGACUGCUUAUUUACUUUUGUGCACAUAGUACUCUGCUUCCCGUCUUAUAAGUUGGUCUGUAAUGGCUGCUGCUGUCUGUCUGUCUCUGUAGUCUGAACAGGAACUAACUCAUGCACACACCAUCUCAGUAGGCCUGGAACUGCUAGUGUUGAGUUACACUUGAUGUCCUGGGACAUUUUCAUGGACUGGAUGAAUGACCUGUGUGAAUAGCAUAAGGCAACACGCCAAAGGUACAGUUAAGUGAAAACUAUAAAUCAUGGAGAAAGACAAAACUAAUAAUUCUAGAGCCAUUUUUAAGCUCAACAAUCUACACUCAAAAUUAAGCGGGCAGAUUCAAAAGUUGAGGAGCCUAGAACAUAAAACAGUCUAUUUAUGAAGGUCCUUUUAGAAGGGCAGCUAAAAGAGAUAGGUGCCUUUAGGUUAUGAUCUGUUCUUGUGGGUUUUUUUUUUUAAAGAUUUAUUUAUUAUUAUAUGUAAGUACACUGUAGCUGUCUUCAGACACACCAGAAGGGGGCAUCAGAGAUCAUUACGGGUGGUUGUGAGUCACCAUGUGGUUGCUGGGAUUUGAACUCAGGACCUUUGGAAGAGCAGUCGGUGCUCUUAACCGCUGAGCCAUCUCUCCAGCCCCUCUUGUGGGUUUUUAACUUUAAAGACAAUUAUACAAGCUGCCAGGCUAGAAGUAUCCUGACUUCAUGCUUCAAUAGUGUGAGUGUAACCCAUAUUUAACCCUGCCAUAUACCUAGCCAAGCAUCUUCUUAGUUAUGACAAAAAGAGUCUCGACUACAAAAGCCACAGC
rnacentral:lncRNA from 1 species